rnacentral:rRNA from 1 species
GAUGAACGCUGGCGGCGUGCUUAACACAUGCAAGUCGAACGGGAAACCUUUUAUUGAAGCUUCGGCAGAUUUAGAUUGUUUCUAGUGGCGGACGGGUGAGUAACGCGUGGGUAACCUGCCUUAUACAGGGGGAUAACAGUCAGAAAUGACUGCUAAUACCGCAUAAGCGCACAGGACCGCAUGGUCCGGUGUGAAAAACUCCGGUGGUAUAAGAUGGACCCGCGUUGGAUUAGCUAGUUGGUGAGGUAACGGCCCACCAAGGCGACGAUCCAUAGCCGGCCUGAGAGGGUGAACGGCCACAUUGGGACUGAGACACGGCCCAGACUCCUACGGGAGGCAGCAGUGGGGAAUAUUGCACAAUGGGGGAAACCCUGAUGCAGCGACGCCGCGUGAAGGAAGAAGUAUCUCGGUAUGUAAACUUCUAUCAGCAGGGAAGAAAAUGACGG